rnacentral:rRNA from 1 species
GACGAACGCUGGCGGCGUGCUUAACACAUGCAAGUCGCACGAAGUGGCGAACGGGUGAGUCACGCGUAACCCUCCUGCCCUUCAGAGGGGGACAACAGUUGGAAACGAUUCCUAAUACCGCAUACUGAAGGAGGGGCGUGCGUCUGCUUAGCUAGUUGGAGGGGUAACGGCCCACCAAGGCGAUGAUCAGUAGCCGGUCUUGUAGGAUGAACGGCCAGAGUGGGACUGAGACACGGCCCAGACGCCUACUGGAAGCAGCAGUGGGGAAUCUUCCGCAAUUGACGAAAGUCUGACGGAGCAACGCCGCGUGAGUGAUGACGGCCUUCGGGUUGUAAAGCUCUGUUAAUCGGGACGCGGUACCGGAAUAGAAAGCCACGGCUAACUACGUGCCAGCAGCCGCGGUAAUUC